rnacentral:tRNA from 1 species
GGUAUGGCGCCGGAUGAACGGAUAACUCUGAUGACGUUAAUUAAGGAGCCUUAACUCCCCAUACCU